rnacentral:rRNA from 1 species
UCGAGAAUCUUCCCCAAUGGACGAAAGUCUGAGGGAGCGACGCCGCGUGCAGGAGGAAGCCCUUCGGGGUGUAAACUGCUUUUCUAUGGGACGAACAAUGACGGUACCAUAGGAAUAAGGGGCUGCUAACUCUGUGCCAGCAGCAGCGGUAAUACAGAGACCCCGAGCGUUAUCCGGAUUUAUUGGGCGUAAAGAGUCUGUAGGCGUCCUGUUAAGUCUUAGGUUAAAUCCCACCGCUCAACGGUGGAC